rnacentral:rRNA from 1 species
UAGGGAAUCUUCCGCAAUGGGCGAAAGCCUGACGGAGCAACGCCGCGUGAGUGAUGAAGGUCUUCGGAUCGUAAAACUCUGUUCUUAGGGAAGAACAAAUGCGUAAGUAACUAUGCACGUCUUGACGGUACCUAAUCAGAAAGCCACGGCUAACUACGUGCCAGCAGCCGCGGUAAUACGUAGGUGGCAAGCGUUAUCCGGAAUUAUUGGGCGUAAAGCGCGCGUAGGCGGUUUUUUAAGUCUGAUGUGAAAGCCCACGGCUCAACCGUGGAGGGUCAUUGGAAACUGGGAAACUUGAGUGCAGAAGAGGAGAGUGGAAUUCCAUGUGUAGCGGUGAAAUGCGCAGAGAUAUGGAGGAACACCAGUGGCGAAGGCGACUUUCUGGUCUGUAACUGACGCUGAUGUGCGAAAGCGUGGGGAUCAAACAGG